UACGGAGGGGGCUAGCGUUGUUCGGAAUUACUGGGCGUAAAGCGCGCGUAGGCGGAUCUGCAAGUCGGGGGUGAAAUCCCGAGGCUCAACCUCGGAACUGCCUUCGAUACUGCGGGUCUCGAGUCCGGGAGAGGUGAGUGGAAUUCCUAGUGUAGAGGUGAAAUUCGUAGAUAUUAGGAAGAACACCAGUGGCGAAGGCGGCUCACUGGCCCGGUACUGACGCUGAGGCGGCGAAAAG
rnacentral:rRNA from 1 species